rnacentral:rRNA from 1 species
AUUGAACGCUGGCGGCGUGCUUAACACAUGCAAGUCGAUCGGUAACGCGGGGGCAACCCUGGCGACGAGAGGCGGACGGGUGAGGAACGCUUGGGAAUCUGCCUAUCAGCGGGGGACAACACGGGGAAACUCGUGCUAAUACAGCAUACGCUCUACGGAGGAAAGCCGGGGACCGCAAGGCCUGGCAAUGAUAGAUUAGCCCAAGCCGGAUUAGCUAGUGGGCGGGGUAACGGUCCACCAAGGCGACGAUCCGUAGUUGGUCUGAGAGGACGGUCAGCCACACUGGAACUGAGACACGGUCCAGACUCCUACGGGAGGCAGCAGUGGGGAAUAUUGGACAAUGGGGGAAACCCUGAUCCAGCGACGCCGCGUGGGUGAAGAAGGCCUGCGGGUGGUAAAGCCCUUUCGGUAGGGACGAAAGCUCUCGACCUAACACGUCGGGAGGUUGACUUAACCUACAGAAGAAGCACCGGCUAACUCUGUGCCAGCAGCCGCAGUAAGAC